GCAAUGUUGGCUGACGCUCCCCCUUGCCGGCUCCCGCUAUUGAACCAGACCCAAGUGCAAUGUUUAAUAAUCCAAGCGUUCUGGAGAAGAGAAGAUCAAGGGCAAUGCCAAGGAUGCCACUGUUGGGUAUCGGAGGAUUUACCUAGAUUGGGUCCCUCAAUGUGGAAUAUCUGAAUUAUCAACAUAGACAUUUCAAGCUUGGGGGCGCCUGGGUAGCACAGUCGUUAAGCAUCUGCCUUCAGCUCAGG